UUGUAAGCACUUUCAAUUGGAAGGAAAAACUCAUGGCCAAUACCCGUGAGCUUGACAUUACCUUUAGAAGAAGCACCGGCUAACUCCGUGCCAGCAGCCGCGGUAAUACGGAGGGUGCAAGCGUUAAUCGGAAUUACUGGGCGUAAAGCGUGCGUAGGCGGCUCGCUAAGUCAGAUGUGAAAGCCCCGGGCUCAACCUGGGAACGGCAUUUGAAACUGGCAAGCUAGAGUUUAGGAGAGGAGAGUGGAAUUUCAGGUGUAGCGGUGAAAUGCGUAGAGAUCUGAAGGAACACCAGUGGCGAAGGCGACUCUCUGGCCUAAAACUGACGCUGAGGUACGAAAGCGUGGGUAGCAAACAGGAUUAGAUACCCUGGUAGUCCACGCCGUAGACGAUGUCAACUAGCCGUUGGCUCUCUUAGAGAGUUAGUGGCGCAGCUAACGCAUUAAGUUGACCGGCUGGGGGGUACGGGCGCCAAGGUUCAAACUCACAAUGAAUCGACGGGGGCCCGAACAAACGGUGGAGCAUGU
rnacentral:rRNA from 1 species